GGGAGAAUUUCCCACCUUCACGAGAUUACUUUUCUCCCCCCAAAUCCAAUCAUCUCUCUUUCCAGCCCUAACUUCCCACUCGUCGCUCUCUUUCUAGCCCUAAAUCUCCCCCCUCCAGAGUUUCGGCGUGAAGCUUUUUCCGGCGUGUAGGUGGUUUGCGACUUCUUUACAACAGUUUGGGUGUGAAAUAAAUUCCAAAGCCAUUCUAAAAAAUGGAUCAUGUUCUAGCUUUGGAAGACUCAGCAAUGGAUGCUGAUCAAGUGGACAACCUCAUAAAGUUUUAUCCAACAAAAGAGGAGAUGGAGCUGCUUCACGUAAACUGUUAGUAAAACAGUUUAAAGGAUUAAAAGACAGAAUAAACCCUGAACUGCUAGAAAUAUGUCAAUUAAGUCCUUGGAAUCUAAUUCCAAAAGUAAGGAUAUUUCUACACACUUACCAAUAUUGCAGCAAGUUUAAGCAUGGUCCCGAUCAUGAUU
rnacentral:lncRNA from 1 species